rnacentral:lncRNA from 10 species
AGGAGUUCAAGACCAGCGAUGGUGAAACCCCAUCUCUAGUAAAAAUACAAAAAGUAGCCGGGUAUGGUGGCGCACACCUGUAGUCUCAGCUAUUUGGGUGGUUGAGGCAAAAGAAUUGCUUGAACCCAGGAGGCGGAGGUUGCAGUGAGCCGAGACUGCACCACUGCACUCCAGCCUGGGCAACAGAGACUCCAUCUCAAAAAAAAUAUUAAGAUUCCUACCAAAUCAGCCUCUGGUGAACCUCUCUAAGGUGCAUGUUAAGCAAGCUUCCCAGGCAUCGAGAACCUACAAUGCAAGAGGACUGCCUCCCAAGUCAGUGCCUUGGGAACCCGUGUUCCUUAUGGAGAACGGGGUCUCCUUAGCCCCGCUGGAUCCUCCCCCAUGGGGAAAAGGGACUAUGCCUACAGGCCUGGGCAGAAGAGGCUGAAAACCUGGUUCUGGUGGCCACCAAGAUGCCCCUGGGUCAGGCUCUUUCUGUUCUGGAGACUGAAGACAGCUGAUGCAGCCUGAGGAAACAUCUCAGACCCCAUCAUCUGAAAGUGCCCAGAGAGCACAGUGGCAGAGUACAUCUCAUCCAGAGAAACAGCAUCCUGCAUCCUCCAGAGUCCUGGUUCCUUCAGUUUCAUCCCCUUUCUCUCCUUCCAUGGAU